rnacentral:rRNA from 1 species
GGGUCAGUAGGUUGGUCGUGCCACCGGUACGGACUGGUCUCACUGAUUCCUCCUUCCUGAAGAACCGUAAUGCCAUUAAUUUGGUGUUGCGGGGAAACAGGACUGUUACUUUGAAAAAAUUAGAGUGUUUAAAGCAAGCUAACGCUUGAAUACAUUAGCAUGGAAGAAUGAAAUAGGACGAUCGAUCCUAUUUUGUUGGUUUCUAGGAUUGACGUAAUGAUUAAUUGGGAGAGUGGGG